rnacentral:lncRNA from 1 species
GGGAGGUGGGGAGGGAUAGCCUGGGGAGAAAUUCCAAAUGUGGGUGAAGGGGAGAAGAAAAGCAAAGCACACUGCCAUGUGUGUACCUACGCACCCACUUCAGAUUCUCAAUCAAUGUGCUGGAAUUACAGGAAUAAGUCACCAUGCCCAGCCCAACGUACUUACUUUAAAUAUUUACAAUUGCAUAGCAGCUCAGUCCUGUAUCUUCUACAAACUAUGUCUUAAUUAAUAAAUGAAGAAAGUAUGUAUGCAUGAUUUAUAAAUUAAUUGAAGAUAUUAAACUUGACAUUUCUAAUAAGAUAUGUUUAUAUUAAUAACCAGUUUAAAUGUAAUGAAUGUCAACACUACUAAUAAUUACAUAUAAAAAAAGAAGCAUUGUUCAUCUGCUAAAAAAAACUCUUCCAAUGAAAAAUUACAGCUAAAGGAAACAGUUGAGGAAUUUAAUCCUAGAUUAAAAUGACAGAAUGUUGCUUUAUAUUAGGAGGAUCACAUUUUCAGCUGAAUAGAUGUAAUCUUCAAUUUGAGCAUCACUAUAUUUAGCCAGCUUUUUCCAACACUCAUCCAUCUCAAUUAAGCAAAUUAUAUAUGUAAUUAUCUUAUUGAAUUAGCCUUGAUCAUGUGCAUUAUAAUCUUCAAAAUGUCAAAGUACUAAAAAUUAAUAGUGUCUAUAUUUUAAGACUCAUUAAAGUAUUUUAAGCUCCCAGAAUUAUUAGCUAAUAAAAGGUUCCAGGCCAUAUAAGCACUAAUCCAAAUGUGUGAAGGAUCUGGACCUUUAUUUCUGAACAGAAAUUGUACUGAAUUUAUAAAGCCAAUUGUAGAUAAUUAGUGAGUAUUAUUUGGCCUGGUUCUGGUAAGAGCUGAGAAAAGAAUUUAUUUAUGUAUGUAUUUAUUUAUUUAGGACAACAUGCUUCUUUGGUUUAGAAACAGUCAAACCGGAACCAGAGGCUAUUAUACUUAGCAGACUAAGGCAAGAGCAGAAAAUCAAAUACCACAUAUUCUUACUUAUAAGUGGAACCUAAAUUAUAAGAAGUUAUGAACAUGAAGAAGAAAACAAUAGACAUUAGGGUCUAUUGACAUGGAAGAGUAGAAGCAAGAUGAGCAGAAAAAACAACUGUUCUGUACUAGGCUCAAUAUCCAGGUAUUGAAAUAAUAUGUACAGCAAACCUGUUUGACACGUGUUUACCUGUCGAAUGUGUCACAUGUACCCCAAACCUAAAAGUUUAAAAAAGAAUAAUUAAGAAGAUAAAAAGAGCGAGAAAGAAAAAAGCUAAUUAGUAAUUAUGUUAUUAAAGAAGCUAGUAAGUAGUAUAGCAAUAACUGACUGCUUACCAUAAUAUAGUUUGCAUUUCAGUAUCUAUAUUUUACUGUUUUAUGUUAAUAUUUACCUUUUCCUCUUUAAUAUCUUCCAACAUAGGAAUGUCACAUAAAUCUUAAGCGUAUUUUUUUAUAAACACACCAGAUAGGAUAUUUUACUUAGCUUUAAGUAAUUGAAAGUAAUUUGUGGUACUAAUUGUGGACAAAACUGAGAAGGCAGGCCGUGUGAGAGACAAUUUAUCUUUAAUUUAUUGGCUUUCUGCCAGAAUUAUAUAGGUAAAAUACUUUCUAAACUGUAGAUAACACUGGCUUCAAAAGUGUACAGAACAAAAUCAAAUGAACAAAAAUAUAUACAACUUCAAACGAUGAGUCAACACUUAGCUUAGAAUGGCAUUGCUGACUUUGGAGUUUUAAUCAUGGGAUACAAACAUUUUCCAACAAAACAGAAUACAUUACAAUUUAAUAUGGAAAAUGAUUUUUUAAAUACUUCUUUAUCCCUCUCAUUCAGUGCAUAAUAAGAAAAAUGUUGGCCAGGUGUGUUAGCUCAUGCCUGUAAUUCCAACACUUUGAGAGGCCAAGGUGGGUGGAUUGCCUGAGGUUAGGAGUUUGAGACCAGUCUGGCCAACAUGCUGAAACCCUGUCUCUACUAAAAUAAUACAAAAAAAUUAGCCAGUAGUGGUGGUGUGCACCUGUAAUCCCAGCUACUUGGGAGGAUGAGGCAGGGGAAUUGCUUGAAUCAGGGAGGUAGAGGUUGCAUGGAGUGAAGAUCUUGCUCCCCUCCAGCCUGGGUGACAGAGCAAGACUCCAACUCAAAAACAAAAACAAAAAGAAACAAAAAACACUUGAGAACUCUGACUAAUAGAUCAGGCCUGUUUGUCAGCCCUUGUCUUUAGGACUGCCCUCCUUCAGACCAACCCCAGUGCCACCAGGCUCCAGACUGGCC